rnacentral:lncRNA from 1 species
AAGAAAUCCACCGGUGCAAUUCAGGGUUCGCUACAAGCAGCAAACAAGCCAUUAUUACUUGAAGGUUCUAAUUCGACACCAGCAACUGCUCCUCAGGCUGCAGAAUCUGGAACUUCUCCAGCGGCGGAGGAAUCAGGCGCCCCUACCUCAGAAUCAGGCGCUCCCCCUACCUCAGAAUCCGAUGCUCCCCCUUCAUCGGAAUCAGGCGCUACCCCUGCAUCGGAAUCAGGCGUUUCCCCUGAACCAGAAUCAGGCGUUCCUCCUGAACCAGAAUCAGGAGCUCCUACUACACCAGAAUCAGGUGCUCCUACUACAUCAGAAACAGGUGU